UGAGGAAUAUUGCGCAAUGGGGGAAACCCUGACGCAGCAACGCCGCGUGGGUGAAGAAGGCCUUCGGGUCGUAAAGCCCUUUCGGACGGGACGAACGCUCCGCGGUGACAAGCCGCGGAGUCUGACGGUACCGUAGGAAGAAGCACCGGCUAACUCCGUGCCAGCAGCCGCGGUAAUACGGAGGGUGCGAGCGUUAAUCGGAAUUACUGGGCGUAAAGCGCACGUAGGCUGCUUUGUAAGUCAGGGGUGAAAUCCCACGGCUCAACCGUGGAACUGCCUUUGAUACUGCUUAGCUUGAAUCCGGGAGAGGGUGGCGGAAUUCCAGGUGUAGGAGUGAAAUCCGUAGAUAUCUGGAGGAACAUCAGUGGCGAAGGCGGCCACCUGGACCGGUAUUGACGCUGAGGUGCGAAAGCGUGGGGAGCAAACAGG
rnacentral:rRNA from 1 species